GAUGAACGCUGGCGGCGUGCCUAAUACAUGCAAGUCGAGCGAACAGACGAGGAGCUUGCUCCUCUGACGUUAGCAGCGGACGGGUGAGUAACACGUGGAUAACCUACCUAUAAGACUGGGAUAACUUCGGGAAACCGGAGCUAAUACCGGAUAAUAUAUUGAACCGCAUGGUUCAAUAGUGAAAGACGGUUUUGCUGUCACUUAUAGAUGGAUCCGCGCCGCAUUAGCUAGUUGGUAAGGUAACGGCUUACCAAGGCGACGAUGCGUAGCCGACCUGAGAGGGUGAUCGGCCACACUGGAACUGAGACACGGUCCAGACUCCUACGGGAGGCAGCAGUAGGGAAUCUUCCGCAAUGGGCGAAAGCCUGACGGAGCAACGCCGCGUGAGUGAUGAAGGUCUUCGGAUCGUAAAACUCUGUUAUUAGGGAAGAACAAAUGUGUAAGUAACUAUGCACGUCUUGACGGUACCUAACCAGAAAGCCACGGCUAACUACGUG
rnacentral:rRNA from 1 species